rnacentral:sRNA from 1 species
ACUUGGCAACAUGAAUCUCCUGCUUAGAACGACGCCUCCUCGGAUAGGGGACAGGAGGAGUGUAGACAGACUCGAGCUGCAUAGGUACUUGCACCUCACAAGGUGCAGUUCGGAUCCAGUGUUGAUCGACACUAGAGGGGUAUCGAUCGACACCGUCGUAUUGAGUUGUCUCUGAGAAAAGCGUCCCAUAUGGUGCCGAUCGACACAGGAGGGUGUCGGUUAACACCAUCUCUGCAACUGCGAGAUUCAACUCGUCUUCAGUGUCCAAUUCUUCCCACACAUCAUCUCCUUCUCUAAUCAAGAUGGCAUUGCAGCUCUUCCUUUGGUUAGCAUCAGGAUUACCAGGAAGAAAACCGUCAUGUCUCUUGAUAGAUUGUGCAGUUUGAGCUACCUGUACAUCUAGCUUCUUCAAGUGAGAGCUCAGAUUGUCGAUCUUCCCAUUAAGAUCUAUGUAGACAGCAUCAAACUUGCCAUUAAACUCCACAACAAGCUUUGUUUGGCUCUCUAGAAUCUGCUCAAGCAUCGAUUCCAUUCUUGUCUCUGAUGAGGGUGGAGGGGGGGGCUUGGUAAGUUGAAUUACCAUAGUUCCUCUGAAAGUUGCUUUGAGGAAAGGUCUUCUGGAAAGCAGGCUUUCGAGUGUAGUUGGAGGAACCCUGGUUUCCUGUAAACCUGUUGCCACUGAAGUUGCCUUGUGGCUGCCCAAACUUUAUGUAUCCCUGACCAUCUAUGUAGAAGACUCCUUCCUCUCACUCAGACUCAAUAGUCUCUUCCUCAGCUGCAAAGUGGACAUGCUUCUUCCCGGUGAGCAAGUUAUGAACUGAAUCCAGCUUAGCAUUCACCUCUGCCAUCUGAUUUCCUGAAAUAGCUCCAGCAAUCUUCUUCCUCUCAAAAUCAGCAUUCUUGGUACUGUUGCUGCAAGCAAGGUUCUCUAUAAGGGUUGUAGC